rnacentral:rRNA from 1 species
AGCGAACGCUGGCGGCAGGCCUAACACAUGCAAGUCGAACGAACUCUUCGGAGUUAGUGGCGGACGGGUGAGUAACACGUGGGAACGUGCCUUUUGGUUCGGAAUAACUCAGGGAAACUUGUGCUAAUACCGAAUGUGCCCUUCGGGGGAAAGAUUUAUCGCCAUUAGAGCGGCCCGCGUCUGAUUAGCUAGUUGGUGAGGUAACGGCUCACCAAGGCGACGAUCAGUAGCUGGUCUGAGAGGAUGACCAGCCACACUGGGACUGAGACACGGUCCAGACUCCUACGGGAGGCAGCAGUGGGGAAUCUUGCGCAAUGGGCGAAAGCCUGACGCAGCCAUGCCGCGUGAAUGAUGAAGGUCUUAGGAUUGUAAAAUUCUUUCACCGGGGACGAUAAUGACGGUACCCGGAGAAGAAGCCCCGGCUAACUUCGUG